CUUCAAUAGUCUGAAUCCAGCAGAACUUACAUUUAGAGUCCCUUAGGAUACCUAAUGCAUUUCAGGCAUUGUGCUUAAAGUCAUCUGGAAUUGAUUCAAAUUUCGUCCUGGGAAGACCUGAGUUAUCCCUCUCGAAUAAUAUUCGAAGUAUUUAAAAGAAACAGCUCUAGUACAUCGUCCUCAAAUGUAGGCUCUGAACCGAGCGUAAUCAAAGUAACUCUAGGCAUUAGAACAUUCUGCAAAUAACUAACCCUAAGUCUCUUGGGCUUGCUAGUUUGAAGGCAUCUCGAAGUCCCCAGGAUUUUCAUGAAAAGCCCUCUGGAAUUUGUUUAUUGACCUCACAUAAGCAUUGCAAACUCAUUUAAAAGUCAUUUGAAAUUCCAAAUUGGAACCUGAAAAUGGAUGCAUUAUGGCUCACCGUUCCGCUCUUCUCAAUCACAAUUGCUACUUCGUUGCUAUUUAUUUUAGUUUUUGCUGUAAUUUAUAUUAAACUGUUAUCAACUACCAGUAUCACGAAAUAAUUUCAACUAACCGUUACCGUAAAAUCUCUUCCCAACGACUAGUUAGGUGCUACCACAGACUGUUGUUUAGUAAGCCAACAUAUUUUAUUAGAGCCAAACAGUACGAAAUCCAACCAAACGCAAGGCACUUUACAAAUAAGCAAAUAGAUCGAUUUAAGUAAUUACAACUGUUGACAAGUUACGUUACCACUUUAUCUCUACAGAGUUUAUUCCGUUAAACUUGAAUCAGCCGCUAAAUCUUCUGAACCAAAACCUUUCUCUCUCUAUCUAUCAAUCACCUAAAACAAACUAGCAAAGUCCUAAAACCCUCGAGGAAAACAAAAGUAAAAAAAAAAAAUACCAAAAUAGUGAUCGAAACGAAGCUAGAUAAAAACCGUAAACAUAGUCGUUAAGAAAUGUAGGCUCUAAAGAAGAAAAAAAAAAAACAAACAAAAAAGAACUUAAAUAUAAAUGUAAAUGUUGUUGAAAAACGAAACUUCAAAGUGCUGUUGAGUUAACCUACCAUAAAUAAAAAAAAAACAAAGAGACGAAAGCAAGCCGGAAGGUGCGUCCACUAGCACCUUCCGGUGCCGUGUAAUAAUAGUCAAAUCCGGAGGUUAAGUAAAAAUCAAAUAGUAAUAAUUGUGAUUUAAGAAUAAUUAGAGAAGAUAAAAACCAUAACACACACACAUGACCCGAGCAAAGGUAGCCCAAAGAAAUCACAGUCACACUCACAUACAUAAACAUCAAACAAACACUGGCGUUCAACAAUCAAAAUAUAUCGGAUUAAAGUCAAAACACCGUUUGUUCGAUUCCCUCUUCAUUGGUGGCGUGCAUGUGUGAGUGCGAGAGCGAACGAUUGCGCUGACGGUAGGUCAAUCUUAAUCUAAACUAGUGAAAUCAAGCAAAAACUGAGUUGUAAUUAUCUCUAGAGAAUGAAAAAAAAAAAAAAGUCAACGUAAAACAUCAGCGCUAAAACAAUAAUUACUUUAAACUGACAAGCAAAAAAAAACUUGAUUGUAAAUGUUCAGUAAACCACAACAGAGGAGCAUUCGAGAGAAAUUCACUUAUAAAGAAGUGGAAGUGUGUGCGUGUGUGGGUGAGUGUUUGUAAGGUGGUCCCUUCGCAGAAUCAGACGUUUAUGCAAAAAUGGAUAUUUUAUUUACAUUAUAUAGAACCGCAGAGGCAAACACUAUCGAUAGGAGAGGUCAGUAGAUGAAAUUAGCAAGCAAAGGAUCGUUAUCAUGUUUGAUGAUUUAUUCGUAGGAUUUUUAAUUAAUCACAAUGAGCAAGCAUUUAUAGAUGAAAAGAAUACGUAUAUAUGAGUUGAACAGAUUUUUGUACGACAGGCAAAGAGAGAGAGAGAGAGAGAGAGCGAUAGAGAGAGUGAAACACAAAGAGCGAUAGAAGAUAUCAAACAAAAAAAAAACGAAAUCAUGUUUAAGCAAGCGAGUAAAAGAUUUAACAAAAUGAGAGAACUUUCUAGUGAAUAUGAUUGAGAUAUUUAUUUUUAGUUUUAAGUAUAUUUUGAACAAGUUCAAUAAAAUCGAAGUGAUUCAUA